AUUGAACGCUGGCGGCAGGCCUAACACAUGCAAGUCGAGCGGAUGAAGUUAGCUUGCUCCUGGAUUCAGCGGCGGACGGGUGAGUAAUGCCUAGGAAUCUGCCUGGUAGUUGGGGAUAACGUCCGGAAACGGGCGCUAAUACCGCAUACGUCCUGAGCGAGAAAGUGGGGGAUCUUCGUACCUCACUCUAUCAGCUUAGCCUAGGUCUGAUUAGCUAGUUGGUGGGGUAAAGGCAUACCAAGGCGACGAUCCGAAACUGGUCUGAAAGGAUGAUCAGUCAAACGGGAACGGAGAAAGGGUCAAAACUCUUACGGGAGGAAGCGGUGGGGAAUAUUGGACAAGGGGGGAAAGCCGGAUACAGAAAGGCGGCGGGUUUGAAGAAGGUGUUCGGAUGGAAAAGCACGUUAGGAUGGGAGGAAGUGCAGUAAGGUAAUAAGUUGAUGUAUUGACGGUACCAACAGAAUAAGCACCGGCUAACUACGUG
rnacentral:rRNA from 1 species